GUUGCCCCUUUGAGGCGUUGCAGCACGGCACUGUGUCGUUUCUGUGUCAUAAGGUGGCAUAGAACAAAGGGCGGCGUUUACGCCGAGUACCCGCCUCUGGCGAUGGGUUCUCAGUGUCUAUAGCCCUACAAA